rnacentral:rRNA from 1 species
UGGGGAAUAUUGGACAAUGGGCGCAAGCCUGAUCCAGCCAUGCCGCGUGAGUGACGAAGGUCUUCGGAUUGUAAAGCUCUUUUAGCAGGGAAGAUAAUGACGGUACCUGCAGAAUAAGCCCCGGCUAACUUCGUGCCAGCAGCCGCGGUAAUACGAAGGGGGCUAGCGUUGUUCGGAAUUACUGGGCGUAAAGCGCACGUAGGCGGAUUGAUAAGUUAGAGGUGAAGGCCCGGGGCUCAACCCCGGAACGGCCUUUGAAACUAGAUAGCUAGAAUCUUGGAGAGGUCAGUGGAAUUCCGAGUGUAGAGGUGAAAUUCGUAGAUAUUCGGAAGAACACCAGUGGCGAAGGCGACUGACUGGACAAGUAUUGACGCUGAGGUACGAAAGCGUGGGGAGCAAACAGGAUUAGAUACCCCCGUAGUCCCUGAGCGGGCUGGCAAGGCGCAU